GAGAAAUAAUUUUGUUUGAUUUUUUUAGAGAGGAAAACUGAGAUUCCAUCUUUCUUCAAACUAUCACCUAUUUUCCUCCACACUUUUUCUUCAGAUUUCAACACACACACUAUUCACGCCGAAAACCGUCGUUCACUUCUUCUCUCCAAACACAACCCAAACUCCCUCCGAUUUGGAAUACGAAGCUUACAAGCUCAUCCACAGUCGUGCAAAACUCACCGAUUGAAAACUUCCUUCAAAUCCGGCGACGGAAACACUGCGAGUCUGCUGUGCACACUACUCCGGUAGAAGCAACGAGAGUAACAACCUCACCUCGACGACACCAUUGUUGUUGGUAAGCUUUGAAUCGUUUUUUUUUCAGUAUUAUUUUUCUCUUUUUUUUAUUAAAAAAAUAGAUAUAUUGUGUCUGAAAGUUUGCUCACUUUAUUUCAAUUUCA
rnacentral:lncRNA from 1 species